UUGUCUCAAAGAUUAAGCCAUGCAUGUCUCAGUACAAGCCAAAUUAAGGUGAAACCGCGAAAGGCUCAUUAAAUCAGUUAUGGUUCCUUAGAUCGUACCCACACUUACUUGGAUAACUGUGGUAAUUCUAGAGCUAAUACAUGCAAACAGAGCUCCGACCGGAGACGGAAGGAGUGCUUUUAUUAGAUCAAAACCAAUCGGUGGCGGGUUGGUGACUCUGAAUAACUUUACGCUGAUCGCACGGUCAUCGCACCGGCGACGCAUCUUUCAAAUGUCUGCCUUAUCAACUGUCGAUGGUAGGUUCUGCGCCUACCAUGGUCGUAACGGGUAACGGGGAAUCAGGGUUCGAUUCCGGAGAGGGAGCCUGAGAAACGGCUACCACAUCCAAGGAAGGCAGCAGGCGCGCAAAUUACCCACUCCCGGCACGGGGAGGUAGUGACGAAAAAUAACGAUACGGGACUCAUCCGAGGCCCCGUAAUCGGAAUGAGUACACUCUAAACCCUUUAACGAGGAUCAAUUGGAGGGCAAGUCUGGUGCCAGCAGCCGCGGUAAUUCCAGCUCCAAUAGCGUAUAUUAAAGUUGUUGCGGUU
rnacentral:rRNA from 1 species